rnacentral:rRNA from 1 species
AUACGUAGGGGGCGAGCGUUGUCCGGAAUGAUUGGGCGUAAAGGGCGCGUAGGCGGCGAGGUAAGUCUGGAGUGAAAGUCCUGCUUUCAAGGUGGGAAUUGCUUUGGAUACUGCCGCGCUUGAGUGCAGGAGAGGUUAUCGGAAUUCCCGGUGUAGCGGUGAAAUGCGUAGAGAUCGGGAGGAACACCAGUGGCGAAGGCGGGUAACUGGACUGCAACUGACGCUGAGGCGCGAAAGUGUGGGGAGCAAACAGGAUUAGAUACCCUGGUAGUCCACACCGUAAACGAUGAAUGCUAGGUGUAAGAGGUAGCGACCCCUUUUGUGCCGGAGUCAACACAAUAAGCAUUCCGCCUGGGGAGUACGGUCGCAAGAUUAAAACUCAAAGGAAUUGACGGGG